UAGCAGAUUUUUUCACUUGGUCUUUUUGUUUUAGUGGUUUUUAGCAUUUAUUUUCUUUAGGGUUCUAUUUUCUAUAAGCAAUGAAUUUUAAGACUUUCUUGAUGUUCUUUCUGUGUCUUUUAAGAAGAGUUAGAUUGCCUAUUAUUCAGUUUAUUUCUCUAAUAUGCAAAUUUAUUUUUUCUAUCAGGUUUUAACCUGGAACUAGGAAGUGUUUUAUAUAGGCUUUGUUUUGUUGAGACCUGAAAACUGCAGGAUUUGCUGGAAGAGGGUGCUAGGGAGCAGGAAGCUGGGAAAAGCAGUGACCAAGAAGAACACAGGCUGCAGUUGAAGGCAAAAGAACUGCUCUGCUGUGGUGACACUCAGCCUCUGAUAACCAUGGAGCAAGCAGGUGAAGGAGCACACUCUGUCCCCUGGGGAGCUACAGACAGACAGAUUUGACCUGCAGCAGACACACAAAGACAGACUGGCAUUGGACCCGACUGAAGAGUUGGAGCCCGACUCUGAACUCUUGUGGAUUCUCCUUCUGAGCUCUCCAUAAACAAGUUGAGAUUUUCCUCUUCCCAAAGGAGUUUUAUCCUUCAGAGAUGCUCUGUGCCCUAGAGGCAGCAGCCCAGGCUCCUGGCUGCCAACCUUCCCUCCGUGCCCACGUCACAAGAUUGGUCCCCUCCAUCACAUGGUGCCACCUCACCCCUGCCCUGCCACCACUGGGGACUGAUGUCUGCAUGCCGUGGAUUUUGUCACAAAUCUUGAUUGUAUUUUAUGCUCCAGUGCAUUCAGUUUACAAGGGCAAACCCCCGCUUCUUUUGGCAUUUUGACCAGGCAGCCUUCCCUUACAGAAAUGGGUUUUCCAACAGGAAUAAACAGAUGCAAAGCCAAAGUUGUUCUCUGCUACUUGCAGUGCGAGAAGAUUUUAUUUUUCUUGCUUUUUGCCCAGUCCAAGGAGAGAGAUCAACAGAAAAUAUUUAUUAGGCAAUUCUUCAGAAUAUUUCCUUUCACUAAACACUGAAAAAAUUGCAAAGGUGAGCAUGAGAGUCAGGAACUCAUCUGUGUUACCAAUGAGGAAGACUCAUCCUUUUUAGCUGUCAUGAAGUUUCCAAAGUUGCUUAUGUCGGCUUUGGUUUCAUUGUCAGACGACUUAGUUCCAGUUGAGCUCUUCCAUUUAAGCUGUUAAACAAAUGAAAAGUAAAAUUGUCACUUUUAAAUAGAGUCCGCACAUAAUCACAUUUUGAAAAGGUCCUCUGUGGUAGGAGCAGGAGUUGUGUGCAUUAUGAUAUUGAAUUUUAAAUAAUAUAUUACACAAAAUAGCUUCCAAUUUGAUUUGGGAGGGAUAUAUUUUCAUGAAUUAUUGAGUAUUUGAUUAUUGUAGAAAGCCUUUGCUGUUAUGCACUGAAACUGUCACUCUCCCAGGCCUAUGAUAGAUGAGUUUGGUUAUCAAUAUUUAAAGUUCCGGUCAGCCCGUGUGCCUGGCUGCUGAUACUGGUGACACAGACUAAUCAGUAGUAAUGUAUAUGUGCCUCCUGUCUCUUGUUUGCCAGGCAGAGCUGGAGCAAAUUGAGUGGAGAAGAUUCCCAAGUGAUUUGUGGAUGGGUUUGUCAUUCUGAGCAGAAGCCCCUUUGACACCACUGCAUAGAAAUGAGGUGGAGAGAAGUUUGCUGGGCUCUGGGAGUGGAGGUGAGCAGAGCCCAGCAGGCAGCAGAUAGGAGCCUUUCUUUUCUGGGGUGAUAAGAGCUGAGCAGCAUUUACAGAUAGGAGUAUUUAAUGUGAAAAAGAGAAACUGGCAAGCAUCAAGGGAGUAAAAUUUUACUGUCAUCUACCAAAAUAUUCUGAGUUGCUGAAUAUGAGCCCAAACUUCCUGGAGGGUUGUUAACCCCAGGGACACCUUAGAGACUUGUGCAAGUAGGACUGGGACUUUUUAAGGUGUUUGAAAACCUCAUGUCUUUCUGUGGGGAAGCAGCCUGCAUGCACAGGACCUUUAUUUUUAUUGCUGUGUCCACUCAGAGCAUUUUGUCAGGGGAAUUGCUGGCACAAAUACUCCUGCUGCACUUCUAAAGUAUUGUGCAAACCAAAUAUUCCACAGGAAUGAAGAGAUUCAUCAUCUGCUGCUUGAAAAGCAAAGCCUGGUACUGAGUGACCUCUGUCCCUUGCUCUAGAUAGUGUGGAGAUGACAAUGACUCCAAACAGGUUAAUUAAAUCCAAAUUGCCUGGCUCCAGUGGGAAUGCUGCAGGAGAAAUCUGCACGCAGAGGUUUGCAGUGUUGGGCUGUGGUUGCAGGCAGGAGAGAGCCAAAAUAAAAGAAGCACUCUUGCAGUUAAUGUGCUGACUUGUACUUGUCUAAUUAAGGCUGGAUAUGCCAGUGGGUAACAACAAAGCAAAUGACAAAUAUUGUGGUAACUGUCACUCUGUGGAGUCCCUGUAAGAAUUGAAGAGCACUGUGGUUUGGCUACCUGCUUUACAAAAGGGGUAUUUAGCUUUAAUUCAGUGAUUUAGCUGAGAUCAGAGGCCAGAGGAAAACACAACAGUUUAAUUUCUGUAGCUCUCAUGUAAGAAUGGCUGACAGUUCUGUUUUCAAAAGGGAAGAAAGAAGUAGAAGAAGGGAGAAGUUGCUGCUACACAAGUAUUUAAAAAGGUGAAAAGAGCAACACAAGUUUGUUCCCUAGAGCAGGAUGCAAGGCUUAUAUUAUGGGCCAGAGGAAGCCAAAGAAGACCCCUGGCUUGGACUUGUGUUACUCCUGUAUUUAGCAGGUGUGUAUUAAUCACAAUGAACAGUAAACUGCAGCACACAAAGCCACCCAUGGCGAGAAGCUGUUAAAGGCAGCCUAAUCAGACUGGUCAUCACUGCACCUUGGCAGCCACUGAAAGGCAGCAAAGAUGUCACAAACCACAUCAAAAUCACCAAGGCCACUUCAGUUCCCAGGGGCCUUUCUGAGCGACCUCUUUCAUUCUCCAAUUCCAUGCAGGGGCAGGAGGCAGAGAAGGUUUCAGAGCAGGCUGUGCUCUUUCAUUUGUGGGUGAGCAGAGAGCUGGGGCAGCAAGGCAGAAGCAGGAUGGUCUAGAGGAGAGGGUUGGCUCAGGAGGGUAAAGAUUAAUUUUGUUAUGGCCCCAUUUCCCCCUUCUUUCUUCUCAUUUCUCUUUCAAGAAUCUCAUCUUCUCUCCUGGAGAAGGGAAUAUCUUUGUGUAGAGCUGUUAAACCUUUAUCAUUUCUGCUGUCUCUCUCCAGAGAUGUUUUCCCUCUCACCACUGAUUGCAGUGACAUUCACAAAAGUUAAACAUGUUUCAGGUUAGGAGAUAUAAUGAAUCAGAAAAGCUUGGUGUGGUCAGAGAGGAUUCUCAGGGCAUCCUGUACCACAGAUGUUUCUCAAUAACUGCACACCUCCCUAGUCCAGAUCCUCCCCUUCCCUCCCCCUCCUUCCUUGCUACUAUUAGAUGGAUUUAUUCUGUGUCUGGGGUCAGUUCUGGCUGUAUUUAUCCAUUUGCAUAAGGCUGCAGUAAGGCAAGGAGCUGACAGGGAGGUGUUCCU